rnacentral:tRNA from 1 species
GGGGUUAUGGCUCAGUGAGAGAACAUCUGCUUGGCAUGCAGAAAACCCCAGGUUCCAUUCCUGAUAACUCCA